AGAGUAAAAUUUAACGUAUUUGAAACAGAUAAAGCGGAGAUAAGAGUUUUUUGUAAUGAUAUUAUAGUUUUUGAAACAUGCAUUUUCUAAUUCUAUUAACUAUAACUUAAAUUGGUGAAUUACAAUAUAAAUAUUUGAUUUCAUAUUGAUUAUUUAUAAGAGGAUGCGUGGCUCCAGAAAGAUGUCUCA
rnacentral:sRNA from 1 species